UCGCAGCGGCGAAGGCACUUUGUCUCUGCCGGGUCCCUUUCGGAAAACCGGUGACCCGGCGGCCCGGCGCGUCUCGGGGCGGGGGCAGCACAGCGUGCACGGUCCUCUCCAAGCGUUUUGCUGGGGACAAGUGCCUUUCUCUGAGGUUUACAACUCGCCCCGGCUCUGCUCAGGCGCCCACGGUAGCCGGAACUGGGCUGCAGCCUCCCCAGAUCACACUAAACCCGAGCCGUUGCGAGGCCCCGGGUUGCCCAAAGAUUGACAACGAUCAGGAGCUAAGUCUGCUUUCCGGGGACCUCGUGGGGAGCUCUGUGCCCAGCACUUUUCUCUCGGACUCUCUGCUGGGGGAGAGAAAGAAAAGAAAAAAAAAGAAAAAGAAAAAGAAAAAGAAAAGUUUCUUUCGGGGGAAGCAGUGAAACAGGAAAUGAAGAUUCGCUCUGUAGUUUAGCUGAAAGGAAACGCUGUCUAAUCCUGACAUGUAUCGCAUUUAAAAUAAAAUUCUUUUAUCUUCAUGCGUGCCAAGCCCCCAGACAUUGUUCGGACUCCUACGGGGGGAAAGACGUCAUAAAAUGAGAAUUUGUUUCAUUGUGGGUCGCUCUGCCAACACCGGGCUUUAAAGGAACGCCAAACAAAGCGGGCGCCAGGAGGGGGCUUCCCAGGUGAGCCCGAGACGGGAUCGAAACUCCUCUCCAGUCCACGAAAACGCCCAAGAAUAAGUUGUAGAUGUCCCAUCUCUAAAAAUACUCUUGACUAUUGGAAACGUGGGCACCAGUACACACAGCUGAUGAGCUGCUCUAAGCCAGGGCUUGCUUCCAGCAACUCCCCUCACACCAAAUGAAGAGGGUUUUGUUAUGUUGGUUGUUGUUAGUGAAAGGUUUCUGUUUUGUUUUUUGUUUUGUUUUUGUUUGUUUUUAAACACUCUUGUUGGGUCUUCUACAUCCUAUAUUAUCUUCCUAGGAGAAAGGUUAAUUUUCAUUUCAAAAAUGCGUGUGCUGCUGCACAAAACUCAUAGUGCUUCAUCCUAAAGAUUUUUUUAUGUCCAAAUAUUAAAAUACUAUAAUGAUGCUUUAAUGGAAUAAAAUGUUUGUCCAAUUAACCACUUCUUUGCUAUU
rnacentral:lncRNA from 1 species